UACGUAGGGUGCAAGCGUUGUCCGGAAUUAUUGGGCGUAAAGAGCUCGUAGGCGGUCUGUCGCGUCUGCUGUGAAAACCUAGGGCUUAACUCGUGGGCGUGCAGGUGGGUACGGGCAGGCUAGAGUGCGGUAGGGGAGACUGGAAUUCCUGGUGUAGCGGUGAAAUGCGCAGAUAUCAGGAGGAACACCGGUGGCGAAGGCGGGUCUCUGGGCCGUAACUGACGCUGAGGAGCGAAAGCAUGGGGAGCGAACAGG
rnacentral:rRNA from 1 species